rnacentral:rRNA from 1 species
CCUACGGGUGGCAGCAGUGAGGAAUCUUGGUCAAUGGCCGGAAGGCUGAACCAGCCAUGCCGCGUGAAUGUCAGUGCCCUAUGGGCGUUAAACUUCUGUUGUGCGGGAGCAAUAAUGGUCACGUGUGGCCAGACGAGAGUACCGUACGAAUAUGCAUCGGCUAACUCCGUGCCAGCAGCCGCGGUAAUACGGGGGGUGCAAGCGUUAUCCGGAUUUAUUGGGUUUAAAGGGUGCGUAGGCUGGGAGGUAAGUCAGCGGUGAAAUGCCCCCGCUCAACGGGGUGAAGGGCAAUUGAUACUGCAUUGCUGGAAUGCGGAUGCGGAGGGAGGAAUGUGUGGUGUAGCGGUGAAAUGCAUAGAUAUCACACAGAACACCGAUUGCGAAGGCAUCUUACGAAUCCGCGAUUGACGCGGAUGCACGAAAGCGUGGGUAUCAAACAGGAUGAGAUACCCGGGUAGUC